AGCUUUGCACAAUGGCAGUAUUGUCACCAAUGAGGUUUAUCUAAGGCACGAUUAUUGCUAAUUGUUUUAUUUCUCCAAAUCACAUCUCACCAUCAAACAUAUUCUCUAUCUUACUUUGUGGGUUUCCCCUCGUUAAAACAUAUGCUUACAUACGGGAGAAAUUUUUGUUUGUUCUUUUCACUGCUGUCUCCCUAGCCUUGGGGUCCGGUGUGUGGUUGGCAUAAAA
rnacentral:snRNA from 1 species